rnacentral:rRNA from 1 species
CAGUAGCCGCGGUAAUACAGAGGGUGCAAGUGUUAAUCGGAAUUACUGGGCGUAAAGGGCGCGUAGGUGGUUAUAUAAGACAGAUGUGAAAUCCCCGGGCUCAACCUGGGACCUGCAUUUGUGACUGUAUAGCUAGAGUACGGUAGAGGGGGAUGGAAUUCCGCGUGUAGCAGUGAAAUGCGUAGAUAUGCGGAGGAACACCGAUGGCGAAGGCAAUCCCCUGGACCUGUACUGACGCUCAUGCGCGAAAGCGUGGGGAGCAAACAGGAUUAGAUACCCGUGUAGUCCCUGUCUCUUAUAA